CUCCUUGUGCAGAGUCACUGUGGGGCUCAAGCAGACGCACAAAGGGCCCGGCCCCAGUGAGACCCAACAGCUUGCCCUCCACAGCCCGACAAGGAGGACAGCCAAGGACAGUGACAGUAACAGCAACAGCUCGGGAGGGACCCUCACACCAGACACCCACUUGCUGCCCGAGUCCCAGCAGCUGAGGAAGCGACUGUCACUCUCAUUUUGCACAUGAGGACACCCAAGCUGAAGCAGGCCCAAGACCACAGCCACGGAGAUCCAGGUGUUCCGGGUGCUCCACACCAGAGGGAGACCCCACCCCACUCCCGGAGCCCCG